rnacentral:rRNA from 1 species
GACGAACGCUGGCGGCGUGCUUAACACAUGCAAGUCGAACGGAAAGGCCCUGCUUUUGUGGGGUGCUCGAGUGGCGAACGGGUGAGUAACACGUGAGUAACCUGCCCUUGACUUUGGGAUAACUUCAGGAAACUGGGGCUAAUACCGGAUAGGAGCUCCUGCUGCAUGGUGGGGGUUGGAAAGUUUCGGCGGUUGGGGAUGGACUCGCGGCUUAUCAGCUUGUUGGUGGGGUAGUGGCUUACCAAGGCUUUGACGGGUAGCCGGCCUGAGAGGGUGACCGGCCACAUUGGGACUGAGAUACGGCCCAGACGCCUACGGGAGGCAGCAGUGGGGAAUAGUGCACAAUGGGCGGAAGCAUGAUGCAGCAACGCCGCGUGCGGGAUGACGGCCUUCGGGUUGUAAACCGCUUUCGCCUGUGACGAAGCGUGAGUGACGGUAAUGGGUAAAGAAGCACCGGCUAACUACGU